rnacentral:sRNA from 1 species
AAUGAAUGUACAUUGAAAGCGAUUACAAAUUAUGAGGAGUGGAUGUUAAUGGGUACAAUCGUUUGUCAGGACUGUCAAAAAGUGAUUGAACACUACGAAAAUGAAAAGGUAUCUACCCUUUACAGCACAUGCCCUACGUGCCAUACAACGGAAAAAUAAAAGACGCAAAAAGCCCGCUGCUGUUUAAAGCAGCGGGCUUUUUU